rnacentral:sRNA from 1 species
ACUGCCCACAGGGAGAUUUUGAGCAGAGGCUUCCUAGGCUCCGUAGAAAUUUGCAUACAGCUUCCACUUCCUGCUUCAAAGCCUGUUCUUCUACUUACCUGGGCCCGGAGAGGGUGGAGGGAGGCCCAGGGCGACCCAAGGUGGAGAGAGACGAGAAGCCGCCGAGAGCCGACCACCCUCCGGGCCCGGUCUGUCUGUCCGUGGUGGUUCUCAGAAACUAGAAUGAACCGAAGCAUUCCUGUGGAGGUUGAUGAAUCAGAACCAUACCCAAGUCAGUUGCUGAAACCAAUCCCAGAAUAUUCCCUGGAAGAGGAAUCAGAACCACCUGCUCCAAAUAUAAGGAACAUGGCACCCAACAGCUUGUCUGCAAUGCUUCACAAUUCCUCCGGAGACUUUUCUCAAGCUCACUCAACCCUGAAACUUGCAAAUCACCAGCGGCCUGUAUCCCGGCAGGUCACCUGCCUGCGCACUCAAGUUCUGGAGGACAGUGAAGACAGUUUCUGCAGGAGACACCCAGGCCCGGGCAAAGCUUUCCCUUCUGGGUGCUCUGCAGUCAGUGAGCCUGAGUCUGAGUCUGUGGUUGGAGCCCUCCCUGCAGAGCAUCAGUUUUCAUUUAUGGAAAAACGUAAUCAAUGGCUGGUAUCUCAGCUUUCAGCGGCUUCUCCUGACACUGGCCACGACUCAGACAAAUCAGACCAAAGUUUGCCUAAUGCCUCAGCAGACUCCUUGGGCGGUAGCCAGGAGAUGGUGCAACGGCCCCAGCCUCACAGGAACCGAGCAGGCCUGGAUCUGCCAACCAUAGACACAGGAUAUGAUUCCCAGCCCCAGGAUGUCCUGGGCAUCAGGCAGCUGGAAAGGCCCCUGCCCCUCACCUCCGUGUGUUACCCCCAGGACCUCCCCAGACCUCUCAGGUCCAGGGAGUUCCCUCAGUUUGAACCUCAGAGAUAUCCAGCAUGUGCACAGAUGCUGCCUCCCAAUCUUUCCCCACAUGCUCCAUGGAACUAUCAUUACCAUCGUCCUGGAAGUCCCGAUCACCAGGUGCCAUAUGGCCAUGACUACCCUCGAGCAGCCUACCAGCAAGUGAUCCAGCCGGCUCUGCCUGGGCAGCCCCUGCCUGGAGCCAGUGUGAGAGGCCUGCACCCUGUGCAGAAGGUUAUCCUGAAUUAUCCCAGCCCCUGGGACCAAGAAGAGAGGCCCGCACAGACAGACUGCUCCUUUCCGGGGCUUCCAAGGCACCAGGACCAGCCACAUCACCAGCCACCUAAUAGAGCUGGUGCUCCUGGGGAGUCCUUGGAGUGCCCUGCAGAGCUGAGACCACAGGUUCCCCAGCCUCUGUCCCCAGCUGCUGUGCCUAGACCCCCUAGCAACCCUCCAGCCAGAGGAACUCUAAAAACAAGCAAUUUGCCAGAAGAAUUGCGGAAAGUCUUUAUCACUUAUUCGAUGGACACAGCUAUGGAGGUGGUGAAAUUCGUGAACUUUUUGUUGGUAAAUGGCUUCCAAACUGCAGUAAGUAUUUUGUCCAAAUAGAUAACUGAACAGUUAUAGUGAGUACAAUGGAGAGAAAAGCAGCAAAAGAAAAAGUGUAAUAGCUGUUGGUGUUUUAAAUGAUAUUAUUUGAUUUAUGUGAUUAUGCAUUGAAUGCUUAUAGAUUUAGGUAAUAAUUAUUUUCUAGAUUUUAAGCUAUCUG